ACGGGAGGCAGCAGUGAGGAAUAUUGGACAAUGGGGGCAACCCUGAUCCAGCCAAGCCGCGUGAGGGAUGAAGGUCCUACGGAUCGUAAACCUCUUUUAUGGGGGAAUAAUUGCCGGUAUGUAUACUGGUUUGAAGGUACCACUUGAAUAAGCAUCGGCUAACUCCGUGCCAGCAGCCGCGGUAAUACGGAGGUUGCAGGCGUUAUCCGGAUUUAUUAGGUUUAAAGGGUGCGCAGGCGGGACAUUAAGUCGGAGGUGAAAUACCGGGGCCCAACCACGGGGCUGCAGUGGAUACUGAUGACCUAGAGUGCGUGAGACGUAGGCGGAAUGUGACGUGUAGCGGUGAAAUGCUUAGAUAUGUGACAGAACACCGAUUGCGAAGGCAGCCUACGAAUGCGUCACUGACGCUCAUGCACGAAAGCGCGGGUAGCGAACAGGAUUAGAUACCCUGGUA
rnacentral:rRNA from 1 species